CAAGACAUUAUGAAUGCUUGGCAGUCUCGCGCUGAUGAUUACUCCCUCGUUCAGUGCGGCAUGCUUUACAGCUUAGAACCGGGACUCCAAAAGCGUUUUGAGCAUCACGGAGCAUAUGAGAUGUUCGAAGAGCUGAAACUAGUUUUUCAAGCUCAUGCCCGGGUCGAGAGAUAUGAUGUCUCCGACAAGUUCUACAGUUGUAAGAUGGAGGAAAACAGUUCUGUCAGUGAGCACAUCCUUAAGAUGUCUGGGUUGCACAACCGUAUGACCCAGCUGAACAUUAACCUCCCAGAUGAGGCGGUCGUU
rnacentral:rRNA from 1 species